UGCAUAUCAAUAAGCGGAGGAAAAGAAACUAACUAGGAUUCCCUUAGUAACGGCGAGUGAACCGGGAUGAGCUCAAAUUUAAAAUCUGGCGUCUUUCAGGCGUCCGAGUUGUAAUCUAUAGAGGCGUUUUCCGCGCCGGACCGCGUCCAAGUCUCUUGGAAUAGAGUAUCAAAGAGGGUGACAAUCCCGUACUUGACGCGACAACCGGUGCUCUGUGAUACGUUCUCAAUGAGUCGAGUUGUUUGGGAAUGCAGCUCUAAAUGGGUGGUAAAUUCCAUCUAAGGCUAAAUAUUGGCGAGAGACCGAUAGCGAACAAGUACCGUGAGGGAAAGAUGAAAAGCACUUUGGAAAGAGAGUUAAACAGCACGUGAAAUUGUUAAAAGGGAAACGAUUGAAGUCAGUCGUGUGAAAGGUAUUCAGCCGUCUCUGGCGGUGUAUUUGCCUUUCACGGGUCAACAUCAGUUUGAUCCGGUAGAAAAAGGCGGGAGGAAGGUGGCACCCUCGGGUGUGUUAUAGCCUCCUGUCAUAUGUGCCGGACCAGACUGAGGAACGCAGCUUGCCGCAAGGCCGGGGUUCGCCCACGUACAAGCUUAGGAUGUUGACAUAAUGGCUUUAAACGACCCGUCUUGAAA
rnacentral:rRNA from 1 species